rnacentral:rRNA from 1 species
GGAGCAGCAGUGGGGAAUCUUGCCCAAUGGAGGAAACUGCGAUGCAGCAACGCCGCGUGGAGGAUGACACUUUUUGGAGCGUAAACUCAUUUUAUAUAGGAGGUUAAUGACGGUAAUAUACGAAUAAGCACCGGCUAACUCCGUGCCAGCAGCCGCGGUAAUACGGAGGGUGCAAGCGUUACUCGGAAUCACUGGGCGUAAAGAGCGUGUAGGCGGGUUAUUAAGUCAGAAGUGAAAUCCUAUGGCUCAACCAUAGAACUGCUUUUGAAACUGGUAACCUAGAGUAUGGGAGAGGUAGAUGGAAUUUCUGGUGUAGGGGUAAAAUCCGUAGAGAUCAGAAGGAAUACCGAUUGCGAAGGCGAUCUACUGGAACAUUACUGACGCUGAGACGCGAAAGCGUGGGGAGCAAACAGGAUUAGAUACCCUGGUAGUCCACGCCCUAAACGAUGUACACUAGUUGUUGCCGUGCUAGACAUGGCAGUAAUGCAGUUAACACAUUAAGUGUACCGCCUGGGGAGUACGGUCGCAAGAUUAAAACUCAAAGGAAUAGACGGGGACCCGCACAAGCGGUGGAGCAUGUGGUUUAAUUCGACGAUACGCGAAGAACCUUACCUGGAUUUGACAUUUACAGAACUUUCAAGAGAUUGAUUGGUGUCUGCUUGCAGAAACUGUAGGACAGGUGCUGCACGGCUGUCGUCAGCUCGUGUCGUGAGAUGUUGGGUUAAGUCCCGCAACGAGCGCAACCCACGUCGUUAGUUGCUAACAGUUCGGCUGAGAACUCUAACGAGACUGCCUGGGCAACCAGGAGGAAGGUGUGGACGACGUCAAGUCAUCAUGGCCCUUACGUCCAGGGCUACACACGUGCUACAAUGGGGUAUACAAAGAGCCGCGAUACCGCGAGGUGGAGCAAAUCUCAAAAAUAUCUCCCAGUUCGGAUUGUACUCUGCAACUCGAGUGCAUGAAGUUGGAAUCGCUAGUAAUCGUAGAUCAGCAAUGCUACGGUGAAUACGUUCCCGGGUCUUGUACUCACCGCCCGUCACACCAUGGGAGUUG